rnacentral:rRNA from 1 species
GAUUCGGGGUGCACCAGGCGCGAAAACUUUGCAAUAAGCGAAAGCUUGACAGGGCUAUCCCGAGUGCCAUCCGCUGAGGAAGGCUUUUACCCAGUCUAGAACGCUGGGGGAAUAAGGAGAGGGCAAGUCUGGUGUCAGCCGCCGCGGUAAUACCAGCUCUCCGAGUGGUGUGGAUGUUUAUUGGGCCUAAAGCAUCCGUAGCUGGCCAGGUUAGUCCCCUGUUAAAUCCACCGAAUUAAUCGUUGGAUUGCGGGGGAUACUGCUUGGCUAGGGGACGAGAGAGGCAGACGGUAUUUUCGGGGUAGGGGUGAAAUCCUAUAAUCCCGGGAAGACCACCAGUGGCGAAGGCUGUCUGCUAGAACGCGCCCGACGGUGAGGGAUGAAAGCUGGGGGAGCGAACCGGAUUAGAUACCCGGGUAGUCCCAGCUGUAAACGAUGCAGGCUAGGUGUUUGGACGGCCACGUGCCGUUCUAGUGCCGCAGGGAAGCUGUUAGGCCUGCCGCCUGGGGAGUACGAUCGCAAGAUUGAAACUUAAAGGAAUUGGCGGGGGAGCACAAUCACUAGUGAAU